AUGUGAAAGUACUCCUCUAGGCUCAGGGACUAACUCUUCAAAUGUGUAAUUUGUCUUGGUGGAGGGAGAGUCAGGCCUUUCUUGUGAAGAAAGUUCAAUCCAUUACAUGAUUGUUUGGGUAAUGAAGAUGUAAGAGGGGGCAACAAAGUAGUGGUCUUAGUAGUGUGAUCUUGUGCAGCAGUGUCUGAGUCAACAACAGCAAGAAUGAUGGCAGAAGUUCAGCAACAGGCAGUGAAGGUGGCAAUAGUGAACGUGAUGUUUUCAGCCAGCACACCCAGAGGAAGCCAGAUGUGGGCAGCUUCAAGUCUUCUGCCCCUCCUGACCACCUAUAGAAGCAGGAUAGUGAGGAAAAGGACCUUUAAUAUGAACAGAAGUAUUAUUUUGUCUUCAUGGAAACAAGCUAAACUUUAUCUAACAAAGAUGGUAGCAUAUUAAAAGAAAGAUAAAAGAUCAAGUAUUGUGUGAGCAGCUUAGAUACAAGUGGUUGGAAUAUGAUCAUGAUCAAGUGUUUCCCUUGUAUUAUAUCUUGAAUCACCAAUUUUUGUUUCAGCUGAUAUCUCUGUAUUUUUCCCAGUCUUUUCAUACUGUAGUGUGAGUGUUAGAAGUACACUGUGAGUGGGUACAGAGAACUUUGAUCUUCAAGUGCUUUUUUCAUGCAGUGUUACCCAACAGAUGUGACAGAAAAUGCAAACACCUCACAGGAUAAGUUUUCUCAGGAACAAAUAGAACAUCAGCAUCUGGAGUAUCUUCUGUAAUUUGACAGCUCUGUUUCUCUGGCCACCUGUCUCCUAAUACUGGGCCGUUAAAAGAACUUAAAUGUGGGAGGUUUAUGAAAUGAGCUAAAUGACUUCAAUAUAACUCACAGGAGACAACGUGAAAAAUGACCCAGUGUUGGAAUGAAUCUGAAUCAUCCGACAAUAAAUAUUGUUGCCUGUCAAUUCAUUGCAGAUAAAGGAUGGAUCAGAAGGGUCGAAGGACAUGUCUGUUUAUAAACAAAACAACAAAAACAACGAAAGGGAUUAUGACCGUUUAAAGUUUUUUCACGUUUCUGUACAAAUACAAACAGAUGUAAAGGUUCACCUGUGUCAAUUAACCUUGUUUUCUGAUAACUACAAAUUGGAUAUUCCUUUUUUUUCACCUGGUGUCAAUAUUUUUCAGUUGUGUUCUGUCUGUGGGCAUGUCUGAAUUUUAUCUUACAGCAAAUGACUGUUUCUGUAGAAACCUUCUUCACAUGCGUUUGACAGAAAGAACAGGUAUUUUGGAGAAGCAGUAGCUAAUUCAUAGUGAAGUGUUGAUGUACACAGUCCCAGACUGCUUCUUAUGAAAUUAGUUAUAUUGGAAAUCAAAAUCAGACUAAAUGAGACAUGAAAGGUGAAUAAAACCCAGGGGACUGUAGACAUGCUUUUGCUGGCUUCUUCCACCCGUUUUCUGAUGCAUUUUUCCUUUCUUGUCUCCCAGGGAAAAUCAAAUGUGAACUGUUGACCCACAUGUUCAAAACAGAUGUCCAAGAAAGACUGCAAUAAUCAGAUGUACACUCCUGUGUGUGUUUGUGUGUACAUAUUCAGACACACUCCUGCAGUUGUGUAGGCAGCAACCACUUCACAAACGAUAUUUUACUUGCUAGCUAAUUUUGACCUAACAUGUCACUAUAAAAAUUUAGGCCUGACAGAAUCUGCCUAAUACUAUACACCUCACUCUCAGUCUUGCUCAUGUUAUCUUAGGUGCUUAACAGUGAACGCUGUGAGUAAUCAUAGAGAAGGCAAUAUAACUAUUCUUCACAAGCAAUUAAAGCUAAGAUUCAACUCUCUAUUAAGACUGCAAGUCUCUUCUUCACUAGUAUUUAUUUAUAUAGAGAGAAAUAUAGAGAAAGACUAUACUAAUAAGUAGUUUAUACUAUUAAUACAAUAUAAGAGUGCUUGUGCUAGCAGCUGAUCAUCAUUCAUUUCUGAAAUAUAAAAAUAAGGCUUAUUCCAGAUUCUAAUCAAUAUUAAUUGGGAAUGCAAUCAUAUAAGAUAAAACCACAAGUUCCUCUGAACCAGCAAUAAAGAAAAAAAACAUAAAGGCAGAACUCAGGAAAAAAAAAAAUACCCACAAAUAUCGAAGCUGAUGGCAUAUUUUCCAUCAAAAAAGCUCUCUAUAAAUAGUCAUAAGCUUCUGAAUAUUUUGAAAUUAUUAAUAUAGGAUGAAGAAGGUUGUAGAAGUUUUCUGGGUGUGUCUGAAAUGGGACCCUGCUCAGUCUCUCCCUUGUGACAUAAGGAAUAUCUUAGCUUCACUAUCAUUGCUUAACUUAGAUGAAAUUUGGAGAGUAUCACAAGGUGAAAUUAAUGUUUACACAUUUAAAGCAUUUUCUUAAUCCCUCUAGCAGAAACUAGAAAGAAGUACUAUCUCUAAAUCUAUAAGAAACCCAGAAAGCAUAUUGUAUUGUUAACAAAGAUUGUUUGUAUUCUCUCCAAGAGAAAAUAAGUAGGCUUUUGCAUUUUAUGCAAUUUCAGUUUCUGUGUGCAUUUAGUCUGCAGCAGCAGAUAAAUUAUAAGGCUACAUGUGCAAUCCUGUGGUAAAGACGAGUCAUAGCUACAUUAUCUUAAAAAAAAAUUUGAAAAGCUCUACAUAAAAAGAAAAAAUAUGAGAAAAAUGACUAAUGGAUACAACUUCUGUAUUUGCUUUACCGACUGUGAAUGGUGAAUUCAAGAAAAAAGUGGCCAGCAUACAAUCUAAGCAUAUGCAGAAGAUACAGCCCCUGCUACAGUUUUCCUAAUAUUUCUCAAAUUAAACAACACUACUUCAUAUUAAUGGACAAUCUCAGAUAGUUUGGCCUUGACCUUGUUGGGCAAGACAUAGGGAUGAUUAAACUGAACAGAAAGAUCAACAUUAGAUGAUAAAUAGCUGAGAUGCAGUCAGAGAGUAUUUUAGUGGUUAAUCUCUUAAUUUUAAUUUUUUUUAAAUCAAGAGACGCACUCACCAGUUUUACUCACAAAGCAGAAAUCACAUCUUUGCACUGGUCAAUAGACAAGGUUGCAUACUGAGUGAAAACCCCUUUCUGUGUCUACAGAUCUAGUAAACCAUGAAUGAGUACCACAUUGCUAUGAAAACCAAGAAGUCUUCAGACAGUACAGAACAUUCUCCUCCCAUGCAGGUGUUAUGUCCAUGAAUUCAGAAAGCUUCUGUGUCUGGUCUUAGCUUCAGGAGAAACUUCACACUUCUGGAACAGCACAGUCAAUCAUGUUCAUUUAAUCCUAUCUCAGAAUUCAGAAAUAAGUUUCCAGAUUGAGAAUACUGUAUCAGAGCUAAUAAAGACAUGAGUCCUCCUGCAUUCAAAGGAUAUACAAAUAAGAGAAGCAUAUUACUCAUUUGGAAAUUAUUACUCAAUUAGACAUUUAUCUGUGACUGAACGUUCUGAAACCAUUCUAGUAAUGCAGUGCUAUCCUCUGUUAGUAUUGAUAUUAUUACAAGAUUAACCUUUAAUUAAUCUGUUGUGCAAAUAUAUUAUACAUCCACAGCCUGUUUUUAAGAUUUUUACCAACACAUGUCAGAACAACUUAUAAAAAAAUAUAUUAGUUGUAGUUCUUUGUAAUCGCUAUAUUACUUUGCAAUCUUGACUUGUCUCAGCUGCGUCCCCUGACCCAAUAUUUAUACUGAAUGCAUGGGCAAGUUUUGGCCAGGAUGGAGUUAAAUUUAACCGUUGUAGCUUGUAUGGGGCUAUUUGGAUUUGUGUUGAAAACAGUGUUGAUAACAUAGGGACGUUUCAGUUAAUUUUGAACAGUGCAACAUCAAGGACUUUUCUGCUUCUCACAUCCCCUGCCAGUGAAUAGCCUGGGAGAGCACAAGAAAUUUGGAGGUGCCACAGAUGGAACAGUCGAUCCCAGCUGACCAAAGGGAUAUCUGAUCCCAGAUGAUGUCGUGCAAUGAAAGCUGGAAGGAAGAAGGAAGGGGGGACUUUCAGAGUCAUGGCUUUUGUCUUCUCAAGUAACUGUUAUGCAUGAUGAAGCCCUGCUUUCCUGGCAACGGCUGAACACCUGCCUGACCACGGGAAGUGGUGAAUGGAUUCCUUGUUUUGCUUUGCCUGUGCAUUCAGCUUUUGCUUUAUCUAUUAUGUAAUUUUACUCUCAUCACAUGAAAUAUUGCAUAUUUAACCUUUCAGAUAUUUUCUCUGAAAAGUAAUUUAGAAAAAGAAAAAAAAAAAAAAACAGAAGAAUUCAAAUUUUAAAUUUUCCUAUGUAUUCUUCCAAGAAGUUGCUGUCUCAGAAAAAGCUUUUUUUCACAAAUCUGGUGAAGGAAUUUUGUACAAUAUGUUCACAAAAAUAACCUGUAACUAUACAAUCAGCAGUUUCUGAAAGACAAAAAUUAAAGUUUUUUAAGUGUUUAGAA